AUUGAACGCUGGCGGCAUGCCUUACACAUGCAAGUCGAACGGUAACAGGUCUUCGGAUGCUGACGAGUGGCGAACGGGUGAGUAAUACAUCGGAACGUGCCUAGUAGUGGGGGAUAACUACUCGAAAGAGUGGCUAAUACCGCAUGAGAUCUACGGAUGAAAGCAGGGGAUCGCAAGACCUUGUGCUACUAGAGCGGCCGAUGGCAGAUUAGGUAGUUGGUGGGGUAAAAGCUUACCAAGCCGACGGCCUGUAGCUGGUCUGGGAGGACGAUCAGCCACACUGGGACUGAGACACGGCCCAGACUCCUACGGGAGGCAGCAGUGGGGAAUUUUGGACAAUGGGCGAAAGCCUGAUCCAGCAAUGCCGCGUGCAGGAUGAAGGCCUUCGGGUUGUAAACUGCUUUUGUACGGAACGAAAAGCCCCGGGUUAAUACCCUGGGGUCAUGACGGUACCGUAAGAAUAAGCACCGGCUAACUACGUGCCAGCCGCCGCCGUAA
rnacentral:rRNA from 1 species